GUUAUAUGGUCAAGUGAAGAAGCGCAUACGGUGGAUGCCUUGGCAGUCAGAGGCGAUGAAAGACGUGGUAGCCUGCGAUAAGCUUCGGGGAGUCGGCAAACAGACUUUGAUCCGGAGAUCUCUGAAUGGGGAAACCCACCUGGGAUAACC
rnacentral:rRNA from 1 species